AGUAGUCAUAUUGAAAAGAAUCAGCUGUAUUAAUGAUUAGAUAAACGCUUUUCUUGUGACCUUGUUCAACACUCCCUCUGCUAUUUCAGUUCAAACAACACAGCGGAGCGGAGAGGUGUGGCCACGGCUGAAGCCAAAAUGGCGACGACAGGACCUCAGUUUCACACUUCGCACUGAUUCACUCACUUAGCUAGCUGACUAGCUAGCUCAACAAGGAACUACCACAGAGACGGGAAACCCGGCCGGGGACAGUUAAAUAUGGCUGAACUUGAGCAGCACGAAGGAGAACAGGACAUUGAGAAGAAAAUUGAGGAGACGAGACAGAGAUUCAAGAAUGAGUUCCUCCAAGAUUCAAUAGAUAAAUAUGACUCCAGAGAUGUGGAAAGGCUUGAAAAAGAUGCUGCUCUGGUGGAGGGCUACCUCCAAUGGAGACUCUAUGUUAUAGAUGAUGCCUUGAAAAUGAUUGAUGAAAGUCUUCAGUGGAGAAAGGAAUAUGGUCUGAAUGAUCUCACUGAGAGCUCCAUUCCCAAAUGGAUGUUCGAGACUGGUGCUCUCUACCUCCACGGCUAUGACAAAGAAGGCAACAAGCUCUUCUGGUUCAAAGUAAAGCUACACGUCAAGGAUGCAAAAACAAUCACGGACAAGAAGAAGUACGUUGCCUUCUGGCUGGAGCGGUAUGCGAAGAAAGAACCUGGGAUGCCACUCACUGUUGUGUUUGACAUGACAGAGUCUGGCCUCAGUAAUAUCGACAUGGAGUUUGUGAAGUACGUUAUUAAUUGCUUCAAAGUAUAUUAUCCAAAGUUUUUAUCCAAAAUGAUCAUUGUGGAUAUGCCUUGGAUCAUGAAUGCUGCCUGGAAGAUAGUGAGGUCGUGGUUGGGUCCCGAGGCAAUCAGCAAGCUCAAGUUUGCAUCCAAAUCUGAGGUCCAGGGAUUCAUAGGCCCCGAGUACUUGCCCCCUCACAUGGGUGGAACGGACCCCUUCAAGUACAGCUACCCGCCUCUUCCUGAUGACGAUUUCCAAACACCCAUCUGUGAAAACGGACCAAUUGUUAGUGAGGACGAGACGGAGAGCAAAGAGGGUGAAAUGGAGGGCAAAGAUGCCCUCGAGUCCAGCUUCAACUCUGAGGUUGCGGUAAAGCCAAAAAAGGUAAAUUUCCUGGAAGACAGUUUGAGGGCAGAGGACAAUGAAAAAGGAGACACAAGCAGCAGGACCAAAGGAGCCAGGAAGCCACUGACCACCUUCAAAGGCCCUCUGCUAGAUGUUAGCCCCGCAGAGGAACUCAGCUUUGGUUCUGGAGAGACAGAGAAAAAAAGCCUCAUUAUCCUGAGCAAUAUAACCAAAAAUCAAGUAGCCUUUAAGGUACGGACCACAGCACCUGAGAAGUACAGAGUGAAGCCCAGCAGCAGCAGCUGUGACCCAGGAGCUUCAGUAGAUAUAGUGGUGUCUUUACAUGGAGGUUCUCAAGCCUCUCCACAGGACAGAUUUUUGGUCAUGGCUGCUGAGAUGGACAAUGCUGGAUCACAAGAACUUUCACAGUUCUGGAAAGAAGUACCAAAAAUCAAGGUCAUGGAACACAGAUUGCGCUGUCAUGUUCUGGAGAGCAUUAAACCACAAACAGUGACUCUUCUCAGAGACAGCCCUGUGGAGACAGGGACCAACGGGCAGCAGGAAUUAAACUCAGCGGUGAGUUCUGGUGGAAGAGAAGCCUUUUUACAAUACUCAUUAUCUUUAAGUCACAAUAUAUUUGUUCAUUCAGAUACUUUUGACCACCAUUAUAGAUUUUGUAGACUGCCAUCACGAUUUUAAAACACAUUGUUUAUAACAUGUAGGCUGAGUAUAUGUCGGUUUGUAAUUUUGGGUUGUAUUACUAUAAAUGUCUAGUAUAACAAGUUAACUGGUUUAUUACUUUCUUAAAUGUUUAGUUUGUUUAAAAGAGUUAGAUAAGAAAACCCACGUUUGUGGGUUAACUAUGGAGCUGGAACAGAGAGGCAGCUAAACUAGCUUAGCAUAAAGACUGGAAACGGGAGGGAACCCUUAGCCUGGCUCAGUCAAUAAAAAAAA